UUUAAAGUCUAAUCUGCCCAAUGAGGGGUUAAAUGGCCGCGGUAUUUUGACCGUGCAAAGGUAGCAUAAUAAUUAGUUUUUUAAUUGAAAGCUGGAAUGAAUGAUUGGACGAGAAAAUAGCUGUCUCAGUUUAAUUUUAGUAGAAUUUUAUUUUUAAGUAAAAAAGCUUAAAUUAAAUUAAAAGACGAGAAGACCCUAUAGAGUUUAAUAUUUAUUUAAUUAUUAAUUUUUUAGUUUAAGUUUAUUAAUAUUUAUUUAAUUAUUUUAUUGGGGCGAUAGAAAAAUUUAAUUAACUUUUUUUUGUUAUUAAGCAUUAAUUUAUGAAUUUUUGAUCCAUUUUUUAUGAUUAUAAGAUUAAAUUACCUUAGGGAUAACAGCGUAAUUUUUCUAUAGAGUUCUUAUCGAAAGGAAAGGUUGCGACCUCGAUGUUGGAUUAAAAUUAAUAUAGGGUGUAGAAGCUUUAUUAUUAGGUCUGUUCGACCUUUAAAAUUUUACA
rnacentral:rRNA from 1 species